CUUUUCCAAAACGCCACGUUUCGCACCCGAAGAGCGUCUAAACAUCACGGGGGGAGACACAUCCACGUUUCCUGCUGAGAAAAGCCACAGCAGCGACAGGCGCGGCAGGGGCACGGCGGCCACCCACGAGUGGCCACCGCGGGCAAGUCCCACGUGCCACGGUCGCCAUCGCCCCCGGGCCGGCGGGGUCACGGCGGGACACGGGGGGAGCGCUGUGACGUCUCAAUGUCAAAUGCAAAUGAGGCAACGUCACCAGAGCGCAGCCAAUGGGAGCGGGGAACGACCGCCAAUCUUAAUCCGGUGAAGAAGAAACAAACAACGGGCGCGGGGGGGCCGGAGCCGAGGGGUCCCGAGCUGCCCCCGCCCCGCCCGGGCCGUGCGGGCCCGCAAAGCCCCAACCCCCCGGCCCCGGCCCCGGCCCCAGCGCGGCCCCGACCGCGUCCCGCGGACACUCACCGGCCCUGCGUGUCCCAGGCGGCGGAAGACGCUGAGAGGCCUCAUCUAAAGAGAAAUUUUGGACACGAAUGAGGGGCGGGGGCUGAAACCCCUGGAUGUGCCACCCAACCAUUACCCACCUGCGAGGAGGCUCAGGGGCUUCGUGAAGAACGACACCAGGAACAUCCCUGGAGUGUCACAACCCCUCAGGAUGCUUGGCACCACCAGGUUUGCCUUCGUCCCAGGCAUGGGCUGACCGUGGCACCAAGGUAUGGUUUGACAUGGUGCCAGGCUUGUCACACGGCAGGAUAUUGUCUGUAUAAAGAUAGAACAUUUAUUAAAACAGUCAUUAAUGGA